UACGGGGGGGGCAAGCGUUGUUCGGAAUCAUUGGGCGUAAAGGGCGCGUAGGCGGCUUUGUAAGUCCGUUGUGAAAUCCCUCGGCUCAACCGAGGAACUGCGACGGAUACUGCUUGGCUUGAGUCCCGGAGAGGGUAGCGGAAUUCCCAGUGUAGCGGUGAAAUGCGUAGAUAUUGGGAGGAACAUCGGUGGCGAAGGCGGCUACCUGGACGGGUACUGACGCUGAUGCGCGAAAGCGUGGGGAGCAAACAGG
rnacentral:rRNA from 1 species